CCUACGGGUGGCAGCAGUGGGGAAUAUUGGACAAUGGGGGGAACCCUGAUCCAGCCAUGCCGCGUGUGUGAAGAAGGCCCUCGGGUUGUAAAGCACUUUCAGUGAGGAAGAACGCCUGGUGGUUAAUACCCAUCAGGAAAGACAUCACUCACAGAAGAAGCACCGGCUAACUCCGUGCCAGCAGCCGCGGUAAUACGGAGGGUGCGAGCGUUAAUCGGAAUUACUGGGCGUAAAGCGCGCGUAGGUGGCUUGAUAAGCCGGUUGUGAAAGCCCCGGGCUCAACCUGGGAACGGCAUCCGGAACUGUCAAGCUAGAGUGCAGGAGAGGAAGGUAGAAUUCCCGGUGUAGCGGUGAAAUGCGUAGAGAUCGGGAGGAAUACCAGUGGCGAAGGCGGCCUUCUGGACUGACACUGACACUGAGGUGCGAAAGCGUGGGUAGCAAACAGGAUCAGAUACCCUUGUAGUC
rnacentral:rRNA from 1 species